UACGUAGGGUGCAAGCGUUGUCCGGAAUUAUUGGGCGUAAAGAGCUCGUAGGCGGUUUGUCGCGUCUGCUGUGAAAACCCGAGGCUCAACCUCGGGCCUGCAGUGGGUACGGGCAGACUAGAGUGCGGUAGGGGAGAUUGGAAUUCCUGGUGUAGCGGUGGAAUGCGCAGAUAUCAGGAGGAACACCAGCGGCGAAGGCGGCGCUCUGGGCCGGUACUGACACUGAGGAGCGAAAGCGUGGGUAGCAAACAGG
rnacentral:rRNA from 1 species